GCGGGCAUGGCGAAACUGGUAGACGCAAGAAACUUAAAAUUUCUCGCCUUCGUGGUGUGCGGGUUCGAUCCCCGCUGCCCGCACCA
rnacentral:tRNA from 1 species